CCUACGGGAGGCAGCAGUGAGGAAUAUUGGUCAAUGGGCGGGAGCCUGAACCAGCCAAGUAGCGUGCAGGAUGACGGCCCUACGGGUUGUAAACUUCUUUUAUACAGGAAUAACGUGAGUCACGUGUGCCUUUUUGUAUGUACUUUAUGAAUAAGGAUCGGCUAACUCCGUGCCAGCAGCCGCGGUAAUACGGAGGGUCCGAGCGUUAUCCGGAUUUAUUGGGUUUAAAGGGAGCGUAGAUGGGUUGUUAAGUCAGUUGUGAAAGUUUGCGGCUCAACCGUAAAAUUGCAGUUGAAACUGGCAGUCUUGAGUACAGUAGAGGUGGGCGGAAUUCGUGGUGUAGCGGUGAAAUGCUUAGAUAUCACGAAGAACCCCGAUUGCGAAGGCAGCUCACUGGACCGCAACUGACACUGAUGCUCGAAAGUGUGGGUAUCAAACAGGAUUAGAUACCCGGGUAGUC
rnacentral:rRNA from 1 species